GAAUCAUGACACAAGUUUCGAGUAAUCAUAAAAAUAAAACUUAAAAAUAUUAAACGAAAUGAAAUUUACUGCAUAGGUAUUACAUUAGGACAUCAUUUCUGUAAAUAUAAAUUUUGGUGAGUGAAGAACUGGUCCCCACGAAAAAAAACACUGUACACGGAUAAUCAGCCUCCAUCAUAAUUUUUUAUAUGACAAAAAUGGUCCCCAGCCAAUUUUUUUUAUAAAUGUAUAAAUGUAGGAUAUUGUUGUUAAAAAUCAUAUUUCUGUUUUUUAUUUCAAAAUGUUAAAAUAAUAAUCUAAA